rnacentral:rRNA from 1 species
GACGAACGCUGGCGGCGUGCCUAAUACAUGCAAGUUGAGCGCUGAAGGUUGGUACUUGUACCAACUGGAUGAGCAGCGAACGGGUGAGUAACGCGUGGGGAAUCUGCCUUUGAGCGGGGGACAACAUUUGGAAACGAAUGCUAAUACCGCAUAAAAACUUUAAACACAAGUUUUAAGUUUGAAAGAUGCAAUUGCAUCACUCAAAGAUGAUCCCGCGUUGUAUUAGCUAGUUGGUGAGGUAAAGGCUCACCAAGGCGAUGAUACAUAGCCGACCUGAGAGGGUGAUCGGCCACAUUGGGACUGAGACACGGCCCAAACUCAUACGGGAGGCAGCAGUAGGGCAUCUUGGGCAAUGGACGAAAGUCUGACCGAGCAACGCCGCGUGAGUGAAGAAGGUUUUCGGAUCGUAAAACUCUGUUGGUAGAGAAGAACGUUGGUGAGAGUGGAAAGCUCAUCAAGUGACGGUAACUACUCAGAAAGGGACGGCUAACUACGUG